UUUAUUCACUGGCCCGUGCGAAUUUUUUUAUUCACUGGCCUCGAGCAGGAUUCCAAGGAUUCGAAAAUGUUCGGUCACGAUCGAUCGAUCGACGAGCAAUCCUAAAACUCCCUUGAAUUUCUCUCGUCCCGAUUGAUACUCCGUCUCUUUAUAUGCUCUACACGCGGCCUCAACGCCCAACAAAAACCGGCGACUCUGAAAAUUUCUCGCACGAACGGCAACAAAGAGCGACUGUUUAUCAAGAGUUGCGGGUAUUUCAACCCUGUCGCCAAAGCCAACACUCUCGACGAUUGAACAAAGUAUGGAAGCGAAACGGACCGCGUAAUUGCCGAUACGCAACGCUUUCGGCGUAUAAAAAAAAAAAAAAAAGGAAAGAAGAAUAACCAAACAAAUAAUAUAUAAUUAAAUUUAUUACAUAAUAUAUUCCUUCUUUUUCUGCCGUGCAUUAUUAAUCCGUGUCCUGUGUCUAAAGAUAUCGAAUUUAUAAACCUUCCUGGACGUUGUUAUCGCGUUCGGAAAACGAUGAAAAAUAUACCCGCAAAAUGGCUCGUAAACUGUGAAAAUUUUCUAAAAUAUUUUCAUGAGAGCGAACCAACACGCGAACAAUUUUUUGGGUGAAAUUUCGCCCCUGGGAUCUGUUUAUCAUCGAACCAAAUAAUGUCUACAUUCCCAGCAUCUCUCGCAAAUUACAUUUCCGGAAAGUGUGAAAUUCGUCUGAAUUUUCGCGUUGCCACACAUCUCUCGCGAGUGUUGUUCGCUUUGGAAACGAUCCACGUUUAUCGAAAAAUAUGUUUCGCCCGUCGAUGCAAAGCCAGUUUCGAAAAUAGACGCGGCUUCGGAGAAGUUUCCUGCAGGUUGUGUGCCAGAGCGCAUCGUAUCGUUGCUCCAGUCUCAACUAAAGUUACUUCCAUCGAGCGUAAGCGGAUCAGGGUCGAAUGGGAAGAAAGAACGCAGUACGAAGUACGCGUACUUCGGCGCCUCAAGAUCGAACACUGUACACGGAGGAUCCUCCCCGAGGGGAUUUUACACUUCGGAGGUGAUCUACAAGCUUCCCCACUUUCCUGGCUUAUCCUCUUUCUCUGCCUUUGGGGACCAGUCGAUUAUUUUCUCUCGCGAAAACGAGGAAUCCACGGUGGAAACCAGAGGAGAAUCCUCGACAAUAGAGCAACUUUAUUUUAUUUAUCUACUUACGAAAUUGGCUCUUCGUAUACAGAAAAGUAGAGCAUAUAAUAACACCAAUUGCGAGCACGGUUGGUCACCUAGCGACGUAUUUUCUUUAUCGCCUACGUUGGACUUUGGAACGUAUCAAGAUACUACCAGGAAUGAUCGAAGCUGAGAUUUUUUUUUUAAAUCUGAGCGAUGACGUUUCAUAAAGUGAUCUGAUCGACCUACACCUCUUGCAGAGAGAAAGAAAAUUGAUUACCAAAUGGACCGAAACCUGAUAUACGAAAUAUCCGUGGUAGCGAACAAUGAUCAUAAAAACAAUUCAGGUGGUUGGUACCAUUGAUUGCGAGCUCGGUGAAUUUAACUGCAGAAACUGCCAGAAAGCCCCGAAUUAAACUGUAAACCGUUUCAACAGAAGUUCCCAGCCACGAAAUCGUUCUGUUCCACACACGAGGAGGCAAAGCGGUACGAUUGGCUCUGCUUAGACUAUCGCUGAUAAAACAUCGAUGGACUCAAGAAAUCUAAUUCAUGGUCGAACUGUGUCUACGUGGUUUCUCGAAGAAAGGAGGUAACGGAACGUAGAAAUGAAAAUGCAUCGAAAUGCCAACGAAAGGAAAGAAAAAAAGCAGCGGCAGGUCCUCCGAGGUGGAAACUAGUACCGAAUUUACAUUAACGAAAUAGACAGACCUAUCGAUUCCCGAUCGUCGCACGAAGCGGAAAAAAGGGGGUGGAAGAAAGGGGGGGAGAAGGGAAGAACGACGGCACAACGGCAAUCCAGUUAAUUGAAAUCGAGGUACUCCUGAAUUCGUUCCUCUCUCCUGAAAUAUCACGAAAGCUAUUGAAACAUCGACGUCGAUUAGUCUGCUACGAUGCUCACGCUAAUUGAAAUUAUUAAUUACAGAGAUUGAUACUGCUUCUUUUCUUGUCGUUAACCCUCUUCCUCUGUUUCGCUAUCAAAUUGCAUAAUCCUGCGCCAUGUCACCGGAAACCGAUGAGAUUCGUGAGAUUGUGUCAGCGCGAUGAACUGAAAAAUAUGGUAAACAUUGGAUACUUUUUUGCUAGACUUCUUCGAGUUAAAAAAUUAUUUUAUUCCAGUGAAUUCUGUUUAAGAGUGGCGCGUAAAGACGGAACGAGUUCGUCACGUGAAACCGUUUCGUUGUUUAUACAGACCAAUUUGACCAGAACGAACGAUUAUAGGGCUGUAACCAUCGAACGAGCGAUCGAAUCUCAUCCAGGGGUUGGCGAGUAAUUGAAACAGCACGAACGACGUGCACGGAAGGAAUUUUAAUACCGCCGUCGUGGAAACACCAUGAAUCUCACGCCCAUCGAGCUCCGUUCAGAUUUUAUACGGUCUUAACGCCGGUGUAAGGGUUGCCAUGCGCUCCACGAAUAUCUCUCCCGAGAAAUCAAUCGAUUAGCGUAAUUGAAUUCAACGAGAAAGCGCGAAGACGUCCGAUCGCUUACCCUCCACCCUUCCCUUCGAUCGCUGCACCCCAGGAGAAUAUUCGAAGCUGUUAAAAGGGAUAACCCUUACUUACCAAACUUUAUUUCUGUUAUAUAUACAUUUUUAACGUAGAACUGUUGACGUUCGGUUUCUCAAAAAUGUAUUCUUUACGUUUUAAAGAGGAAAAAUAUAUAUUCGUUUAUUCUUCUGAAAAUUCAUGCGAACGAUGGCAAAAGCCCGAGAGAACCGCUACUGAAGUUAAUGGACGACUAAAAUAUUAAAAUCUGGGAAAAGCUCUGCGCGAAGUUCCGUUUCGGUGUAUACUAAAUAACCCAUUAAAAGCACACGCGACGAAGAGCUUCGAUGAUCGCUAUUCUAAACCUCCGAACGAAACAGCGACUCCUAUCAUUAAUUAGUUCCUAGGUGAAAAGAUAAACACCGUCAGAACUCACCCGCGGGUAUUUGCUUCGAGAACAGUUCGGUAACACGUUGUUGGAAAACGGAUCGCUCGGCCUUUAUAAUAUCCUUUUCUCUGAUAACAAACUUUCCCGGCUCUGGACGUUAAAUAAUUACGCGGUUGAGCCCCGGCUGUGACGAUCGAACGGCUGAAACGACCGAGGCGUUAAAGUGUUAAUUUACCCGCUUUUAGCGUGCACGGUUUUCGCAUCCACGCGAUCCGGACGUCGUUCGCCAAAGGAAAAGGGUUACCACGCCUGUCACAGCCCUUAAAGUACGAAAACUGCAUUUUCGCAAAUGCACCCCCUCCCCUUCC